UUGGUUAAGUUAUUAAGGGCGCACGGCGAAUGCCUUGGCACUAGGAGCCGAUGAAGGACGGCACUAACACCGAUAUGCUUCGGGGAGCUGUAAGUGAGCUUUGAUCCGGAGAUUUCCG
rnacentral:rRNA from 1 species